rnacentral:rRNA from 1 species
GACGAGCGCUGGCGGCGUGCUUAACACAUGCAAGUCGUACGGUAAGGCCCUUUCGGGGGUACACGAGUGGCGAACGGGUGAGUAACACGUGAGUAACCUGCCCACAACUUUGGGAUAACGCUAGGAAACUGGUGCUAAUACUGGAUAUGUGCUCCUGCUGCAUGGUGGGGGUUGGAAAGCUCCGGCGGUUGUGGAUGGACUCGCGGCCUAUCAGCUUGUUGGUGGGGUAGUGGCCUACCAAGGCGGCGACGGGUAGCCGGCCUGAGAGGGUGACCGGCCACAUUGGGACUGAGAUACGGCCCAGACUCCUACGGGAGGCAGCAGUGGGGAAUAUUGCACAAUGGGCGCAAGCCUGAUGCAGCAACGCCGCGUGCGGGAUGACGGCCUUCGGGUUGGAAACCGCUUUCAGCAGGGACGAAGCUUUUUGUGACGGUACCUGCAGAAGAAGCACCGGCUAACUACGUG